rnacentral:rRNA from 1 species
AGACUCCUACGGGAGGCAGCAGCAAGGAAUUUUGGGCAAUGGGCGAAAGCCUGACCCAGCGACGCCGCGUGGGGGAGGAAGGCCUUCGGGUCGUAAACCCCUUUUCUCAGGGAAGAAUACUGACGGUACCUGAGGAAUAAGCCUCGGCUAACUACGUGCCAGCAGCCGCGGUAAUACGUAGGAGGCAAGCGUUAUCCGGAUUUACUGGGCGUAAAGCGCGCGUAGGCGGCUUUGCAAGUCGAAUGUAAAAUCUCCCGGCUUAACUGGGAGAGGUCAGGGGAUACUACCCGGCUUGAGGGCAGUAGAGGAGAGUGGAAUUCCCGGAGUAGCGGUGAUAUGCGUAGAUACCGGGAGGAACACCCGUGGCGAAAGCGGCUUUCUGGGCUGUCCCUGACGCUGAGGCGCGAAAGCAUGGGGAGCAAACCGGAUUAGAUACCCGGGUAGUCCAUGCCCUAAACGAUGAAUACUAGACCUAGGGGGUAUCGACCCCCUCUGGGUCGUAGCUAACGCGAUAAGUAUUCCGCCUGGGGAGUACGGCCGCAAGGCUAAAACUCAAAGGAAUUGACGGGGGCCCGCACAAGCAGCGGAGCGUGUGGUUUAAUUCGAUGCAAAACGAAGAACCUUACCAAGGCUUGACAUGCUGGAAGUAGUGAACCGAAAGGGGAUCGACCUGUUAAGUCAGGAGCCAGCACAGGUGCUACAUGGCUGUCGUCAGCUCGUGCCGUGAGGUGUUUGGUUAAGUCCUGCAACGAGCGCAACCCUUAUUGCUAGUUGUUUUUUCUAGCGAGACUGCCCCGCAAAACAGGGAGGAAGGUGGGGAUGACGUCAAGUCAGCACGGCCCUUAUGCCUUGGGCUACACACACGCUACAAUGGGUGGUACAGUAGGUUGCAAUGGAGCGAUCCGGAGCUAAUCCCUAAAGCCAUCCUCAGUUCGGAUUGCAGGCUGAAACUCGCCUGCAUGAAGUCGGAGUUGCUAGUAAACGCGUAUCAGCAUGGCGCGUUGAAUACGUUCUCGGGCCUUGUACACACCGCCCGUCACGUCAUGAAAGUCGGCAACACCUGAAGUCGAUGGGCUAACCCCGACUUGUCGGGGGGGCAGUCGCCGAGGGUGGGGCUGGUGAUUGGGACGAAGUCGUAACAAGGUAGCCGUAGCGGAAGCUGCGGCUG